rnacentral:rRNA from 1 species
AACGUAGGACGCAAGCGUUAUCCGGAGUUACUGGGCGUAAAGCGCGGGCAGGCGGUCACUCAAGUCUGAUGUGAAAUCUCUCCGCUCAACGGGGAGCAGCCAUUGGAAACUGGGCGACUGGAGUCUGACAGAGGUAGGCGGAAUUCCGGGUGGAGUGGUGAAAUGCGUAGAUAUCCGGAGGAACACCGGUGGCGAAGGCGGCUUCCUGGACCGACACUGACGCUGAGGCGCGAAAGCUAGGGGAGCAAACGGG